GACGAACGCUGGCGGCGUGCUUAACACAUGCAAGUCGAACGGAAAGGCCCUGCUUUUGUGGGGUGCUCGAGUGGCGAACGGGUGAGUAACACGUGAGUAACCUGCCCUUGACUUUGGGAUAACUUCAGGAAACUGGGGCUAAUACCGGAUAGGAGCUCCUGCUGCAUGGUGGUGGUUGGAAAGUGUCGGCGGUUGGGGAUGGACUCGCGGCUUAUCAGCUUGUUGGUGGGGUAGUGGCUUACCAAGGCUUUGACGGGUAGCCGGCCUGAGAGGGUGACCGGCCACAUUGGGACUGAGAUACGGCCCAGACUCCUACGGGAGGCAGCAGUGGGGAAUAUUGCACAAUGGGCGGAAGCCUGAUGCAGCAACGCCGCGUGCGGGAUGACGGCCUUCGGGUUGUAAACCGCUUUCGCCUGUGACGAAGCGUGAGUGACGGUAAUGGGUAAAGAAGCACCGGCUAACUACGUG
rnacentral:rRNA from 1 species